UCUUCCCUCUGGCGGCAUGCCUAACACAUGCAAGUCGAUCGGUAAGGCUCUUCGGAGUACACGAGAGGCGGACGGCUGAGUAACGCGUAGGAACACACCCUGCAGUGAGGGAUAAGACACCGAAAGGUGUUCUAAUACCGCAUACGGUCUUCGGAUUAAAGCAUUUAUGCGCUGAAGGAGUGGCCUGCGUCAUAUUAGAUAGUUGGUGAGGUAAUGGCUCACCAAGUCGAUGAUGUGUAGCUGGUCUGAGAGGAUGAUCAGCCAGACUGGAACUGAGACACGGUCCAGACUCCUACGGGAGGCAGCAGUGAGGAAUAUUUCACAAUGAGCGAAAGCUUGAUGGAGCAAUGCCGCGUGCAGGAUGAAGGCCCUCGGGUUGUAAACUGCUUUUAUAAGAGAAGAUUAUGACGGUAACUUAUGAAUAAGGGACGGCUAACUACGUG
rnacentral:rRNA from 1 species